rnacentral:rRNA from 1 species
CAGUCGCCGCGGGAAUACAGAGGGUGCGAGCGUUAAUUGGAUUUACUGGGCGUAAAGCGUGCGUAGGCGGCUUUUUAAGUCGGAUGUGAAAUCCCUGAGCUUAACUUAGGAAUUGCAUUCGAUACUGGGAAGCUAGAGUAUGGGAGAGGAUGGUAGAAUUCCAGGUGUAGCGGUGAAAUGCGUAGAGAUCUGGAGGAAUACCGAUGGCGAAGGCAGCCAUCUGGCCUAAUACUGACGCUGAGGUACGAAAGCAUGGGGAGCAAACAGGAUUAGAUACCCGAGUAGUCCCUGUCUCUUAUAA